rnacentral:rRNA from 1 species
GUACACGCUGUGACUAGCAUAUCAAUAAGCGGAGGAAAAGAAACUAACAAGGAUUCCCCUAGUAACGGCGAGUGAAGCGGGAAGAGCUCAAAUUUGAAAUCUUAAAGGGUUUCCCUUUACGAAUUGUAGUUUAAAGAAGUGUUUUCUGUUGAGGUUUUGGUAAAAGUUCUUUGGAAUAGGACAUCAUAGAGGGUGAGAAUCCCGUAUUUGACCUUUACUUUCAACUUUGUGAUACACUUUCAAAGAGUCGGAUUGUUUGGGAAUGCAGUCCAAAAUGGGUGGUAAAUUUCAUCUAAAGCUAAAUAUUGGCGAGAGACCGAUAGCGAACAAGUACCGUGAGGGAAAGAUGAAAAGAACUUUGAAAAGAGAGUUAAACAGUACGUGAAAUUGUCAAAAGGGAAGCGUUUGACACCAGUGUUGUUUUUCUGAAAAUCAAUUAAAGAACUGUUUAUGCUAAGUUGUUUAGACUUUAUCAGCUAUCUGUUUAGUUUUGAGCAUUUCUUUAAUGCACUUUUCAGUUAACAAGUCAACAUCAAUUUCUUUUGCUGUAAAAAAGCUUGAGGAAGGUGGCUUGAGAUUCGUCUUAAGUGUUUAUAGCCUCUUGCCUAUGCAGUCGGAGAGAUUGAGGUCCGCAGCGUAGAUCCUUCGGGGCUAAAUGCAUUUGUGCUAAGUUAUAGCAUUUUAUAGACAACUUGUUGACUAUGAUUUGUCUUGUAGCUUACUCGCUUAUGUUAUUUUACCUACGCUUAGGAUGUUGAUAUGCCAUGACUGAUAU